rnacentral:tRNA from 1 species
UAGAAGGUAGUAUAGUGGGAGUGCGGAGGGUUUUGGAGUCUCAAGUGUGGGUUCGAAUCCCAUUCUUCUAG